rnacentral:lncRNA from 1 species
UAUAAUUCAAACUCUGAUCUUUUAAAUCCAUACACAACAUAUCAGGUCAUAUAUUGCUUGGAUAAUUGAUUCAUGUCACUGCCUUAACCGUGUGAGGAUUCCAGUUGUUAGGCAUCUUUGGAACCGUAAUUGUGUUUUUGUUUCUCCACACUUAGUGAAAAUACAAUAUCUAGAUUGAUGCUGAAUAAAGCGUUUGCCCCAAUCAUCUGUUCUUCCUUGUUUUUGCCUUGAUUCAUUCCAUUCUUGAAGUAACAAAUCUUUGCUAUCAAAAACCCUAUAGAUUUUACGCAGGACAAAGGAUUUCGUCAAACAUUUGGGCUUUUUCUCGAGAAAAAAUACAAAAAAAAAAGGACAACAAUAACCAAACGGGCCCUCAGAUUUUCUGUGUUAUUGUGCCUGAUUGUGCCACGAUUUGCCUUUGGGUGACUGCACCUGUGGGCACAUCGCAAAUAGCUUUUUGCUCCAAUUCAGGCAUAGCAGCAUUUCUCCCCCACCCUCUAAAAGCCUCGAUGGAACAAACAAAAGCUCCAAAAACUAUCGAUCACAGAUCUACGAUCCAGUGACUAUGGUAGUUAAAUGAUUCCAUGAAUUCAACAAUUUGAGGGUAAGUGCGCCGCCUCUAGACAGCCAAACAAAGAACUGCAACUUCUAAAGCUUGGUUUGACCAUAUGAAAGGAGUGUUCAUCCAGCUGAAGCCAAAUUAUGAAUGAUUAUGCUCGGUUUGCUAGCCAGCUUAACCAACCAAUUUGGAGCCAAACCUGAACAUGAAUGAAAAUUCAUGCUUGUCGGCAUGGUUCAGGCUCGGUUUGUUAAAACCCCAGCCAAUAAUAUAUUUACCUGAGAUUGGCUCAAUUUGAUCCAAGCCUGUAAUCCAACUGAAUUUUCGCUGUUCAAGAGAAUUGCAGCCCUUGUGGGGAAUGCUCACCAUGCUGCCAUAAUAUAUUCACAUCAGGGCCCUCAACAAGCUGGAUCAGUUUGGAACUCCUUCCACAUAGCAAGGUAAAUCAUAACAUGAGAUCCGAACUCCAUGCAAUGUGAUUUCUGCGAAUCUAGCAACUACGGAACAGCAGAAAAAAUUGAGAAAUUAACGUAAGCACUUUUCAAAACUUUUCAAACAACUAAAACAACUAACCAGAAAUUACCAAACUCCAGAGGUGGAUAUACAGCAACUUGUUAGCCAAACACCGCCAACCUGAGUGUGGCAAAUACAGCACCAACGAGGCGAAACAAGUGCUGCCAGAUCAUCUGUUGUACCUGCAUAUUUCCAUCGGGUCCAAGUUUUUGUCAACUUUUCUCCUGCAACGCGACACACUAUAUUUGUUUAAAAAUGGCCGUCUUUUUGAAAUGGUCAUUCCAAAGCAAUCUGACAAUCUGAUCAUCUCAGGAAAGAAGAGUGUAGAUGCAGAAUUUCGCAAACCCAUUUAGCUUACUAGAUAUGAACAUAUAGCUGUUGGUUCUGUGAUCAUCAAAUAUACACUAAUAGAAAUGGCUGUGGGCAAUUUCAGGGUGAACAACAAAGGAAGAUAACCAAUACAAUAGGCACAUACAAAAGAAGUGAUAAUAUAUGAUGGGAGAUUUAUUGUCAAUCAACUACUUAAUAUGAAUCGUGAACCAUAACAAACUGAGGUCACCUAUAAAUCCUGGAAAUAGAAAAAGUUCACCAUGCAAGACGUAUGAACUGUAGUAGUUGAAGCAGCAGAGAUGUGUGGAGCCAUGCUAUAAUACAGCAACAUCCAAACUCAGUUGCUGCCAAUGAGCAAAAGUUACAAUGAGCAGCAGGGGCAUCAAUAGAUUCUCCAUGACUGCUUACCUGACAUCAAACCUGCUAAUGGUUCUCAUAAUAUCUGCCUCAGCCCUUGGUGAGCCUUCGCAGAAGACCAAAGAUAUCAUAGUGGCAGUACAAGAGAUGC